UCGUAUUAUAGAGACGCGAGGGCUGUCGCUGACCUUUUUCAAAGGUCGUGCACGUCUGAGUGCUCUCAUCUACAAUCCACCUCACCCCUUGUGCAUCACCGCGCAGGGCCCCCCCUCUCUCUCGGCUUGCUUGCUCGCUUCUGAGGGGAGGCUCGCGUUUUUCACACAAACACCCUUUUAGUUUUAGAAUGUCAUUCAUUUGUGAUCAUACGCAAUCAAUA
rnacentral:misc_RNA from 1 species